rnacentral:tRNA from 1 species
GCGGGCGUGGCGGAAUCUGGUAUACGCGAUGGAUUUAGGUUCCAUUGUCUUCGGACAUGGGGGUUCGAGUCCCCCCGCCCGCA